rnacentral:rRNA from 1 species
UGGGGAAUAUUGGACAAUGGGGGAAACCCUGAUCCAGCAAUGCCGCGUGAAUGAAGAAGGCCUUAGGGUUGUAAAGUUCUUUCACCUGUGAAGAUAAUGACGGUAGCAGGAGAAGAAGCUCCGGCUAACUCCGUGCCAGCAGCCGCGGUAAGACGGAGGGAGCUAGCGUUGUUCGGAAUGACUGGGCGUAAAGGGCGCGUAGGCGGUUUUUUAAGUGAGGCGUGAAAGCCCUGGGCUUAACCCAGGAGGUGCGUUUCAUACUGGAAGACUUGAGUGCGAGAGAGGAAAGUGGAAUUCCUAGUGUAGAGGUGAAAUUCGUAGAUAUUAGGAAGAACACCUGUGGCGAAGGCGGCUUUCUGGCUCGCAACUGACGCUGAGGCGCGAAAGCGUGGGGAGCAAA